rnacentral:lncRNA from 1 species
GGGAAGUGAGGACCCCUCUGCCCGGCCAGCCGCCCCGUCCGGGAGGGAGGUGGGGGGGUCAGCCCCCUGCCCGGCCAGCCGCCCAGUCCGGGAGGGAGGUGGGGGGAUCAGCUCCCCACCUGGCCAGCCGCCCCGUCCGGGAGGUGAGGGGCGCCUCUGCCCGGCCGCCCCUACUGGGAAGUGAGGACCCCUCUGCCUGGCCAGCCGCCCCGUCCGGGAGGGUGGGGGGGGGGGGUCAGCCCCCCGCCCGGCCAGCCGCCCCAUCCAGGAGGUGAGGGGCGCUUCUGCCCGGCCGCCCCUACUGGGAAGUGAGGAGCCCCUCUGCCCGGCCACGACCCCGUCUGGGAGGUGUGCCCAGCGGCUCAUUGGGGAUGGGCCAUGAUGACAAUGGCGGUUUUGUGGAAUAGAAAGGCGGGAAGAGUGGGGAAAAAAUUGAGAAAUCGGAUGGUUGCCGGGUCUGUGUGGAUAGAAGUAGACAUGGGAGACUUUUCAUUUUGUUCUGUACUAAGAAAAAUUCUUCUGCCUUGGGAUCCUGUUGAUCUGUGACCUUAUCCCCAACCCUGUGCUCUCUGAAACAUGUGCUGUGUCCACUCAGGGUUAAAUGGAUUAAGGGCGGUGCAAGAUGUGCUUUGUUAAACAGAUGCUUGAAGGCAGCAUGCUCGUUAAAGAGUCAUCACCACUCCCUAAUCUUAAGUACCCAGGGACACAAACACUGCGGAAGGCCGCAGGGUCCUCUGCCUAGGAAAACCAGAGACCUUUGUUCACUUGUUUAUCUACUGACCUUCCCUCCACUAUUGUCCUAUGACCCUGCCAAAUCCCCCUCUGCGAGAAACACCCAAGAAUGAUCAAUAAAAAAAA